rnacentral:lncRNA from 1 species
GUCAUCUCACGGCCGAGGAGGGAAAACAGACCAGAAGGACCAGGCCCGCGAGGCCGCCAGCGCCUCAGAGGACCGCGACCACCCCCCCACCCCACACCACCCCCCGCCCCGGGACCGGGCCAGGCCCGGCGCCCCCUCCAGGCCUCAGUCCUUGCUGCUGCGGGUGGUCGCCUCCCGGAGGGGAAGGGGCUGCGGGGCGAGGGCGGGACUCGUCACAUUCGGGCAGCAGGAAAUGAUCUGGUAAAUAUUUGAUGUGCCUCUUAAAAUACCUGGGCUGAGGGCAGCCGGGGCGGGGGGAGUCAGCGGUUUAGCGCCGCCUUCGGCCCAGGGCAUGGUCCUGGAGACCCGGGAUCGAGUCCCGCGUCGGGCUCCCUGCAUGGAGCCUGCUUCUCCCUCUGCCUGUGUCUCUGCCUCUCUCUCUGUGUCUCUCAUGAAUAAAUAAAUAAAAAUAUUUUUAAAAACUAUCUGGGCUGAGAGAGGCCUUGGCCAGUGUGGGGAGGGGGCAGCUGGGGCCUCAGAGGGGGCGCCUGGGGCUGCAGGACCCUCCCUUGAGAGGAGAGAGAGAAGGGGGCCGGGGAGGAGAGGCCAGGCCUGGGGGGGCUCCAGCAGCAGAACAAUGGGGUGUCUGGGGCCCAGAGCCCUCGCUGUGGAGACUGCCUGCUCUGGGGGCAGGAUGGCCGAUGGGGAUUCUUGGUCCCCCUGCCCCCCAGGGCCAGCAGGGCAGUGCUGCCCUGCUCCUGUGGGGAGGACCUGAGCUGGGGGUAUCCUGGAGCCACGGGGGGCCCUGGGGUCACGGGGGGGGGGACCCUGGAGCUAGCAGGGGGCCCUGGGGCCACGAGGGGGAGGAGCCUGGAGCCACGGGGGCCUGGAGCCAGCAGAGGCGGGGGCAUGUGCUGCGUCAGGGCCGCCCACCAGCAGCCUGGGCUGGGAUCCCGGAGCUUCUGCAUCUGCCUUUUCCCUGAGGCCGAGUGUUCAGCGCCUGGAGAUGAGGCCCAUCUUCCUCCCGUACUUGGACCCGGCUCCUCCUUCCAGCUUGAGCCAAACCAGCAGCGGAGGGCGGACACGACACAGUGCACCCCUUGGAGAGCGGGGAACCCGUGGGAGGUUCCCAGGGUGACCCAGGAAUAUGACAGGCCACAUCCAGCUGCCCACCCGUCCGUCUGCUCCUGCCUUAACCUCCCUCAGGCGACUGCAGGGGCCCUCGGGAGGGAACCCGCCCCGCGGCCAUAGCGAGCGUACCCCAGCUGCCCCCUCACGACAGUGGGGCUGAGUAUAGAGUAAGUGGACUGGUCAGGACGGGAGGGGCCGUGCAGGGGUGACCCGACCGUCUGCCCUGUCCCAGCCCCACAGGCAGCU